rnacentral:misc_RNA from 1 species
AACAAAAACGCCACGAAUCCGGCCGGCCUCACCGAGCGCGUUCGUCGUCACUCAUUCGUGUUUAUUUCGGAAUUCGCACCGUACGGCUUUGGGUGUGUCUGUGUCGCAGGAAUAAAAUAAAAGCAUCACCAUGAGCGGACAGCAGUAUUACCCCUACAAGUGCACCCCGACGGUUUACCCCGCGGAACCCUUCGACCCGGUGGCCGACGCGGAGACCCUCCGCAAGGCUAUGAAAGGCUUCGGCACCGAUGAGAAGGCAAUCAUCGACGUCCUCUGCCGCCGCGGCAUCGUUCAGCGUCUGGAGAUCGCUGAAACCUUCAAGACCAACUUUGGCAAGGACCUCAUAAGCGAACUGAAGAGCGAACUCAGCGGUAACCUCGAGAAUGUCAUAGUAGCUCUAAUGACCCCCCUACCUCACUUCUACGCCAAGGAGUUGCAUGACGCAGUCGCCGGGCUCGGCACUGAUGAAGAAGCCAUCAUAGAGAUUCUGUGCACCCUCUCCAACUACGGCAUCCGCACCAUUUCUGCUUUCUACGAGCAACUAUACGGCAAGAGUCUGGAAUCAGAUCUCAAAGGUGACACAUCGGGUCACUUCAAACGUCUCUGCGUAUCGCUAUGUAUGGCCAAUCGCGAUGAGAAUGCUGGCGUCGACGAAGGUGCUGCCAAAGCUGAUGCAGAAGCUUUAGCGCAGGCUGGAGAAGGCCAAUGGGGCACCGAAGAAUCCGUCUUCAAUUCCAUCCUUAUCACACGCUCUUAUCAACAGCUAAGACAGGUGUUCGCUGAAUACGAAGCGUUGGCAGGCAAAGACAUCGAAGAAACAAUCAAAAAGGAGUUCUCUGGAAGCGUUGAGAAGGGAAUGCUUGCUAUUGUAAAAUGUGUAAAGAGCAAAGUCGGUUUCUUCGCGGAGCGUCUCUACUACUCGAUGAAGGGUCUCGGUACCAACGAUAAGACUCUCAUCAGAAUCGUUGUCAGUCGUUCAGAGAUCGAUCUCGGCGACAUCAAACAGGCGUUCCUGGACAAAUUCGGCAAGCCCUUGGAGGAGUGGAUCGCUGAGGAGGUAGAUGGUUCACUCGGUCAUCUCCUAUCUGCAAUGGCUUAUUAAGCCUUCUACAGACUAAAGACAAUUUACACACGCCAUGCUACAUUGUAUAACCUGUGUGGUGUGACCUUAUUUAAUCUGUACCCUAUAUACAAUUUACAAAUGGACGACCUUGAUGGUGACUUCAAGAAUGUGCUAGUCACACUUAGUGCUUAAAUCCUGCAAAAUAAUUGUAUUGUUUGCGUGUAACUUGUUUUAACUUUUUAAAUGUUUUGUGCAUGUAUACAAAAUUAGUACUAUAACAGAUGUGAAUGUAAUAUUUUGCAGGAUGAUACGAAGGGCGACUACAAACGGGUGUUACUCACUAUUGUUUCAUAAGAAAAUGCAUAAUAAGACUUCAAAUUGUACGAAUAUUUGUAUUGCACUUGCAAAGCUAAGUUCCGAUAUGAAACUGCCUUUAUUAUAUACUGUUGAAAUGUUAUAGAAAUAAAAGCUUGAUAUUUUUGUGAAAAUGAGAUAUUUAUUGGUGCUGUAGUUUUGUUUACGAUGUAUUAUAUGUAUUUAAAUACAUUAAUAAUAAAACUAUGUAUGUUC